rnacentral:rRNA from 1 species
CUUGGUCAUUUAGAGGAAGUAAAAGUCGUAACAAGGUUUCCGUAGGUGAACCUGCGGAAGGAUCAUUAUCGAAAUUAUUGGUGAGGGUUGUAGCUGGCCUUUCGGGGCAUGUGCACGCCUGAGCCCUUAAUCCACCCACACCUGUGAACCUAAUGUAGGUCGCCCCUCAAAAAGGUGGCCUAUGUCUUACUCAUCGACCCAUCGUAUGUCUCAUAGAAUGUAAAUCGAUAUCCUCGCCCUAAAAAAGCGUUGAUAAACUUAUACAACUUUCAACAACGGAUCUCUUGGCUCUCGCAUCGAUGAAGAACGCAGCGAAAUGCGAUAAGUAAUGUGAAUUGCAGAUUUUCAGUGAAUCAUCGAAUCUUUGAACGCACCUUGCGCUCCUUGGUAUUCCGAGGAGCAUGCCUGUUUGAGCGUCAUUAAAUUCUCAACUCCAAGGGUUUCACGACCUUUUUGGGGAUUGGACUUGGAGCGUGCCGGCGUCGACGUCGGCUCCUCUCAAAUGCAUCGGCGGAAUUCGAUCUUUGGCUUCCGGACAAUCAGUGUGAUAAUCGUGUUGCGCUGUCGUCUGAAUCCUCAAAGCCCGCUCAUAAUGGUCUUCGGACAAAUCAUCAUCAAAUUUGACCUCAAAUCAGGUAGGACUACCCGCUGAACUUAAGCAUAUCAAUAAGCGGAGGAAAAGAAACUAACAAGGAUUCCCCUAGUAACUGCGAGUGAAGCUGGAAAAGCUCAAAUUUAAAAUCUGGCGGUCGAAAGCCGUCCGAGUUGUAAUCUGGAGAAGCGUUUAUCCGCGUUGGACCGUGUACAAGUCUUCUGGAAGGGAGCGUCAUAGAGGGUGAGAAUCCCGUCUUUGACACGGACAACCAAGGCUUUUGUGAUGCGCUCUCGAAGAGUCGAGUUGUUUGGGAAUGCAGCUCAAAAUGGGUGGUAAAUUCCAUCUAAAGCUAAAUAUUGGCGAGAGACCGAUAGCGAACAAGUACCGUGAGGGAAAGAUGAAAAGCACUUUGGAAAGAGAGUUAAACAGUACGUGAAAUUGUUGAAAGGGAAACGUUUGAAGUCAGUCGCGUCGGCCGAGACUCAGCCUUGCUAUCCGCUCGGUGCACUUCUCGGUUGACGGGUCAGCAUCAAUUUUGACCGCCGGAUAAAGGUCGAGGGAACGUGGCAUCUUUCGAGGUGUGUUAUAGCCCUUGAUUCGCAUACGGCGAUUGGGAUUGAGGAACUCAGCGCGCCUUUAUGGUCGGGGUAUCUACCCACGUUAACGCGCUCAGGAUGCCGGCAUAAUGGCUUUAAGCGACCCGUCUUGAAACACGGACC